AUUGAACGCUGGCGGCAGGCCUAACACAUGCAAGUCGAGCGAGCGGCGGACGGGUGAGUAAUGUCUGGGAAACUGCCAGAUGGAGGGGGCUAACUACAGGAAACGCUAGCUAAUACUGCAUACCAUCAGAUCUGCCCCGAUGGGAUUAGCUAGUAGGUGGGGUAAUGGCCCACCAAGGCAACGAUCCCUAGCUGGUCUGAGAGGAUGACCAGCCACACUGGAACUGAGACACGGUCCAGACUCCUACGGGAGGCAGCAGUGGGGAAUAUUGCACAAUGGGCGCAAGCCUGAUGUAGCCAUGCCGCGUGUAUGAAGAAGGCCUUCGGGUUGUAAAGUACUUUCAGCGAGGAGGCGUUACUCGCAGAAGAAGCACCGGCUAACUCCGUGCCAGCCGCCGCGGUAAUAC
rnacentral:rRNA from 1 species